AGAGUUUGAUCAUGGCUCAGGACGAACGCUGGCGGCGUGCUUCAUACAUGCAAGUCGAGCGGGGUCCAUCCAGUGGCAACACUGGUGAAGACCUAGCGGCGAACGGGUGAGUAACACGUGAGGAACCUGCCCCAGAGACCGGGAUAACUCUCCGAAAGGAGAGCUAAUACCGGAUGCCCCCACCGGAUCGCAUGGUCUGGUGAGGAAAUGGAUUCCGCUCUGGGAGGGCCUCGCGGCCUAUCAGCUUGUUGGUGAGGUAACGGCUCACCAAGGCAACGACGGGUAGCUGGUCUGAGAGGACGGUCAGCCACACUGGGACUGAGACACGGCCCAGACUCCUACGGGAGGCAGCAGUAGGGAAUCUUGCGCAAUGGGCGAAAGCCUGACGCAGCAACGCCGCGUGGGGGAUGAAGGCUCUCGGGUUGUAAACCCCUUUCAGCAGGGACGAUUAUGACGGUACCUGCAGAAGAAGGACCGGCCAACUACGUGCCAGCAGCCGCGGUAAUACGUAGGGUCCGAGCGUUGUCCGGAUUUAUUGGGCGUAAAGAGCUCGUAGGCGGCUCAGUUAGUCGGAUGUGAAAACUCGGGGCUCAACCCCGAGACGCCAUCCGAUACUGCUGUGGCUUGAGUCUGGUAGGGGAACACGGAAUUCCUGGUGUAGCGGUGAAAUGCGCAGAUAUCAGGAGGAACACCAAUGGCGAAGGCAGUGUUCUGGGCCAGUACUGACGCUGAGGAGCGAAAGCGUGGGUAGCAAACAGGAUUAGAUACCCUGGUAGUCCACGCCGUAAACGUU
rnacentral:rRNA from 1 species